rnacentral:rRNA from 1 species
UAAGGUGACUAUAGCGGCGGGGAACCACCUCUUACCAUUCCGAACAGAGAAGUUAAACCCGCCAGCGCCGAUGGUACUGCAUCAAGCGGGAGAGUAGGUCGUCGCCGACU